UGGGGAAUUUUGCACAAUGGGGGAAACCCUGAUGCAGCGACGCCGCGUGAUUUAGAAGGCCUUCGGGUUGUAAAAAUCUUUUUUAUGGGAUGAAAAUGACAGUACCAUAAGAAUAAGGUCCGGCUAAAUACGUGCCAGCAGCCGCGGUAAUACGUAUGGACCGAGCGUUGUCCGGAAUCAUUGGGCGUAAAGGGUACGUAGGCGGCCUAGUAAGUUAGAAGUUAAAGAAUAUAGCUCAACUAUAUAAAGCUUUUAAAACUGCUAGGCUUGAGAGAUGGAAGGGAAAGUGGAAUUCCUAGUGUAGCGGUGAAAUGCGCAGAUAUUAGGAAGAAUACCGGUGGCGAAGGCGACUUUCUGGUCAUCAUCUGACGCUGAGGUACGAAAGCGUGGGUAGCAAACAGG
rnacentral:rRNA from 1 species